rnacentral:rRNA from 1 species
CAGUAGCCACGGGAAUACAGAGGGUGCAAGCGUUAAUCGGAAUUACUGGGCGUAAAGCGCGCGUAGGUGGUUUGUUAAGUUGGAUGUGAAAUCCCCGGGCUCAGCCUGGGAACUGCAUUCAAAACUGACUGACUAGAGUAUGGUAGAGGGUGGUGGAAUUUCCUGUGUAGCGGUGAAAUGCGUAGAUAUAGGAAGGAACACCAGUGGCGAAGGCGACCACCUGGACUAAUACUGACACUGAGGUGCGAAAGCGUGGGGAGCAAACAGGAUUAGAUACCCGCGUAGUCCCUGUCUCUUAUAC